GUGAGGAAUAUUGGUCAAUGGGCGGGAGCCUGAACCAGCCAAGUCGCGUGAGGGACGAAGGCCCUACGGGUUGUAAACCUCUUUUAUAAGGGAAUAAAGGGCGCCACGUGUGGCGCAUUGCAUGUACCUUAUGAAUAAGCAUCGGCUAACUCCGUGCCAGCAGCCGCGGUAAUACGGAGGAUGCGAGCGUUAUCCGGAUUCAUUGGGUUUAAAGGGUGCGUAGGUGGCUUGUUAAGUCAGCGGUGAAAGUCAGUGGCUCAACCAUUGAAUUGCCGUUGAAACUGGCGAGCUUGAGUACGUACGGGGCAGGCGGAAUGCGUGGUGUAGCGGUGAAAUGCAUAGAUAUCACGCAGAACCCCGAUCGCGAAGGCAGCCUGCCAGGCCGUGACUGACACUGAUGCACGAAAGCGUGGGUAUCGAACAGGAUUAGAAACCCUAGUAGUCC
rnacentral:rRNA from 1 species